UACGGAGGGUGCGAGCGUUAAUCGGAAUUACUGGGCGUAAAGGGUGCGUAGGUGGUUAGGUAAGUUAUCUGUGAAAUCCCUGGGCUCAACCUGGGCAGGUCAGAUAAACUGCAAGACUCGAGUAUGGGAGAGGGUAGUGGAAUUUCCGGUGUAGCGGUGAAAUGCGUAGAGAUCGGAAGGAACACCUGUGGCGAAGGCGGCUACCUGGCCUAAUACUGACACUGAGGCACGAAAGCGUGGGAGCAAACAGG
rnacentral:rRNA from 1 species